UACGUAGGGAGCAAGCGUUGUCCGGAAUCAUUGGGCGUAAAGCGCGCGUAGGUGGCUUCAUAAGUCCGUUGUGAAAGUCAAAGGCUCAACCUUUGAAAGCCGAUGGAUACUGUGGAGCUAGAGUACGGAAGAGGCGAGUGGAAUUCCUGGUGUAGCGGUGGAAUGCGCAGAUAUCAGGAGGAACACCAAUAGCGAAGGCAGCUCGCUGGGACGUUACUGACACUGAGGCGCGAAAGCGUGGGGAGCGAUCCGG
rnacentral:rRNA from 1 species